rnacentral:rRNA from 1 species
AGACCCGAAACCCGGUGAUCUAGCCAUGGGCAGGUUGAAGGUUGGGUAACACUAACUGGAGGACCGAACCGACUAAUGUUGAAAAAUUAGCGGAUGACCUGUGGCUGGGGGUGAAAGGCCAAUCAAACCGGGAGAUAGCUGGUUCUCCCCGAAAGCUAUUUAGGUAGCGCCUCGUGAAUUCAUCUCCGGGGGUAGAGCACUGUUUCGGCUAGGGGGCCAUCCCGGCUUACCAACCCGAUGCAAACUGCGAAUACCGGAGAAUGUUAUCACGGGAGACACACGGCGGGUGCUAACGUCCGUCGUGAAGAGGGAAACAACCCAGACCGCCAGCUAAGGUCCCAAAGUCAUGGUUAAGUGGGAAACGAUGUGGGAAGGCCCAGACAGCCAGGAUGUUGGCUUAGAAGCAGCCAUCAUUUAAAGAAAGCGUAAUAGCUCACUGGUCGAGUCGGCCUGCGCGGAAGAUGUAACGGGGCUAAACCAUGCACCGAAGCUGCGGCAGCGAACGUAUCACCCAAGACAACUUUGCGGAGUUGACGAUUGACGGAGCGAAGCGACGUCAAAGCGUUCAUUAAAGUCGAGUUGGCUUAGGGAUACGUUCGUUGGGUAGGGGAGCGUUCUGUAAGCCUGUGAAGGUAUGCUGUGAGGCAUGCUGGAGGUAUCAGAAGUGCGAAUGCUGACAUAAGUAACGAUAAAGCGGGUGAAAAGCCCGCUCGCCGGAAGACCAAGGGUUCCUGUCCAACGUUAAUCGGGGCAGGGUGAGUCGACCCCUAAGGCGAGGCCGAAAGGCGUAGUCGAUGGGAAACGGGUUAAUAUUCCCGUACUUGGUGUUACUGCGAAGGGGGGACGGAGAAGGCUAUGUUGGCCGGGCGACGGUUGUCCCGGUUUAAGCGUGUAGGUGUGUGUUCCAGGUAAAUCCGGUUCACUUUAACACUGAGGCGUGACGACGAGGCACUACGGUGCUGAAGCAACAAAUGCCCUGCUUCCAGGAAAAGCCUCUAAGCAUCAGGUAACAUCAAAUCGUACCCCAAACCGACACAGGUGGUCAGGUAGAGAAUACCAAGGCGCUUGAGAGAACUCGGGUGAAGGAACUAGGCAAAAUGGUGCCGUAACUUCGGGAGAAGGCACGCUGACAUGUAGGUGAAGUGAUUUACUCAUGGAGCUGAAGUCAGUCGAAGAUACCAGCUGGCUGCAACUGUUUAUUAAAAACACAGCACUGUGCAAACACGAAAGUGGACGUAUACGGUGUGACGCCUGCCCGGUGCCGGAAGGUUAAUUGAUGGGGUCAGCGCAAGCGAAGCUCCUGAUCGAAGCCCCGGUAAACGGCGGCCGUAACUAUAACGGUCCUAAGGUAGCGAAAUUCCUUGUCGGGUAAGUUCCGACCUGCACGAAUGGCGUAAUGAUGGCCAGGCUGUCUCCACCCGAGACUCAGUGAAAUUGAACUCGCUGUGAAGAUGCAGUGUACCCGCGGCAAGACGGAAAGACCCCGUGAACCUUUACUAUAGCUUGACACUGAACAUUGAGCCUUGAUGUGUAG